GAGCGGCGGACGGGUGAGUAAUGUCUGGGAAACUGCCUGAUGGAGGGGGAUAACUACUGGAAACGGUAGCUAAUACCGCAUAACGUCGCAAGACCAAAGUGGGGGACCUUCGGGCCUCAUGCCAUCAGAUGUGCCCAGAUGGGAUUAGCUAGUAGGUGGGGUAACGGCUCACCUAGGCGACGAUCCCUAGCUGGUCUGAGAGGAUGACCAGCCACACUGGAACUGAGACACGGUCCAGACUCCUACGGGAGGCAGCAGUGGGGAAUAUUGCACAAUGGGCGCAAGCCUGAUGCAGCCAUGCCGCGUGUGUGAAGAAGGCCUUCGGGUUGUAAAGCACUUUCAGCGGGGAGGAAGGCGUUAAGGUUAAUAACCUUGGCGAUUGACGUUACCCGCAGAAGAAGCACCGGCUAACUCCGUGCCAGCAGCCGCGGUAAUACGGAGGGUGCAAGCGUU
rnacentral:rRNA from 1 species